AAUGAACGUUGGCGGCAGGCCUAACACAUGCAAGUCGAACGGAUCCUUCGGGAUUAGUGGCGGACGGGUGAGUAACGCGUGGGAACAUACCCCUUGGUACGGAAUAGCCUCGGGAAACUGGGAGUAAUACCGUAUGUGGUCGAGAGACGAAAGAUUUAUCGCCAAAGGAUUGGCCCGCGUUGGAUUAGGUAGUUGGUGGGGUAAUGGCCUACCAAGCCGACGAUCCAUAGCUGGUUUGAGAGGAUGAUCAGCCACACUGGGACUGAGACACGGCCCAGACUCCUACGGGAGGCAGCAGUGGGGAAUCUUAGACAAUGGGGGAAACCCUGAUCUAGCCAUGCCGCGUGAUCGAUGGAGGCCUUAGGGUUGUAAAGAUCUUUCAGGUGGGAAGAUAAUGACUGUACCACCAGAAGAAGCCCCGGCUAACUCCGUGCCAGCCGCCGCAGUAA
rnacentral:rRNA from 1 species